rnacentral:misc_RNA from 1 species
AUCAUUUCAGUGGCUGGCAUCUUGUAGUUGUUGAAAUGGGAUAAAGUUGUUUCCUUGUAAAACCUUCCACACGUUUGAAACAGAGAAUAUGAAGCAACUUUUUAACAAGGAAGUUCUCUUCUAACUUUCCUUUAUUUUGCUAUGAUGUCCUUUGAUCGAAUCAAGGUUCUUGUCACUCACUGGCAUUCAAAUAGUUAGUACAUCUAUAUGAAGGUAAAAGUAUCAGUUCUCAUUGGAACCUAUAUAAUGUGACAGAGUUUCUUGUUGAUUAUCAAAUUGUACCCUUCACUUGUGCAACUUGAGCCUCUGGCAAU